GUAUACUACCGGCUUUGUCCAGUUUCGAGUUUUUAACAAUGAAAAAGCAGCAUUGGCUCUGUGCCCAGGAAUGAAGGUGACAGGAUGCAAUCCUGAACAUCACUGUAUUGGAGGAGGAGGCUUUUUCCCAGAAGGGAAUCCUGUCCAAUGUGGAGAUUUUGCUGCCUAUGACUGGAGCGGAUAUGGGACACACAGAGAUUCGAGUGCCAGCAAGGAGAUAACUGAGGCAGCCGUCCUGCUCUUUUACCGCUAAUUGGAAAUUUGCACUUCACUUUAAACACUUUUUGAAAUAAAGAAAUAUUAAUGAA